rnacentral:lncRNA from 1 species
GUCUCUAUGAAAGCGUGAUUAUUAAAUAUUAAUUAUUAAUUAAUAAUUAAUGAAAAUCAAGUUCUUAUACAUAAUAUUGUGAACAUGUUUUGUAUCAAAAUUCUUAGGAACUUUUCUUUAAUAGUGUCAUAAUUUCCGUUAAAUUUGUAUUAAAUAAUAAUGUUGCAAUUUGUUUUAUAUUUUAAAUAUUUUUAACUACUUUAAUAAUGUACGAUUUAUUAAAAAAGUGUGUUUCACGACACAAACGUAAAUUAAUUAUUGGUGGCGCAUUGUUUUGUAGUACUGCAUAUGUAGUGUACACUCUAAAACAAAAAUUUGCUGAAAAUAAAGAAAAGAAAAGUCUAGAAUAUUUGGAACGAUGUAGGCGUCAACAAUACCAUGAAGCUUCUGAAAUCGCUGCCGAUCGUAUGAUUAUUGAAUUUGUUAAGAAUCUUUAUAUUAAAUUUUUUUCAAAAAAAUUACGUGUGGAGAAUGUUAUUGAUCAAUUAAAGAAACAAAAUGAUGUGGCACUUUGGGAGGAAAUGAGAAUAUGUGUUUUUACUAGAGCAUGUUUACUUGUUUAUUCAGAAACUAUGUUAGUGAUAACUUUAAAAACACAGCUCAAUCUUCUUGGAGGACUCUUAUAUAAGAGUUUGUCACAAGAUUCUCCAACUAUUUGUUCAAAAACUCAAGAAGACUAUCUAUCACUUUUUACUUAUUUUAUUGAAGAAGGUAUUCAAUUUUUAGAAAAAUAUUUACAGGAUAAAGUUAUUAAAUAUGUACAGCAAGUUCCUCUUCAAGAACAGUACACUUUACAAGAAUUAGAAAAAUUAUUUUUUCUUAUUCAAACUGACAUUGCGAGUGAUUUAGGCAGUCCUUUUCGGAGCAUUGAAACAUACAUGCUACACCAAGUACCACCAGUAAGAGAAGCAUUGUUACAAGAUAUGAUAAAUGAAACAAAAGAUUUAUUGAAAACCGAAGAAAUCAUGUCAGUAUCUCGUUACUGCAUAUGUCAUAGUUUUAAUAGGCUGAUGGACACUAUUGCUGUUAAUAUACCUAAUCGGUCAGUUCAUUUACCUACUAAUGUCAAAAUGCCAUUGGCCAAAUGGUUACCGGUUAUUAAUAAAUCAACUAAAGUAACAGAAAAUGGAGAUUGCUAUUUGCAACAAAAUGUUCAUUUGAACGAAAAGGUUAAAAUACUAGGUGCAAAUGUAUAUGAAGCAUAUUGUUCUACAUAAUUAAAACAUUUCUAAAAACUUUUUGUACUGUUAUUAAAACUUAAAAAUUAACUAGGUAUAGGUAUAUUUUAAAUAUUAAAUGUUAAAGUAUAAAGAUAUUUGGGUAAUUUGGGAAUUUUGAAAGUUUUGAAUUUUAUUGUAUUGUUAUGUUUAUAUUUUUAAUAAUAUUCAUUGAAAUAUUAACAUUUACUAAAAACGAAUUAUUUUCUAUAAUAAUGCAUGAGAAAAAGAUUUAAUAAAAUUAUGGAUAUUAAGUUCUGGUUAAGCUUAUUGAUUUUUAAAAUUUCAUAUAUAUAUAUAUAUUUCUUGAAGUACCAAUUUAAAGUAAUUUAUAUUAUAAGUUCAAUGUAUUUUAUUGUUAUAUAUGUUUGCUAAAAUAUUUAUGUGACUCAUUUGGUUUCCUCUCAUUUAUGAUUUAACACAAACAUCACUAUUAUUGAUAUUAAAGUAUUUGUUGGCAUAAUUAAUAAGAACCUAUUCUUGGUGAAAACCACCUGUUUAGGAAAAUUAGAUAAAGGAAUUCAAAUUCACAAUUUUAAUAAAUUUAUUUUUUCUAGGUUUCCUUGAUAACAUAUAUCAAAAUAAAAAACAUUCUUUGUGAAGAUUUAUACAUCAUGUCAUCAUACACCAUUAUACUAUAGCAUGGAUAAGACAAAAUUGUAUUAUUGUAUACUAACGCAAUAUUUUCACAAUUGCUGACGUAAUUAUUUACAUAUUUUAUAAAUGAUAAUAUGUACUACUUAUGAAGGGUUAUGCAUAUAUUAUGAGAAUAAUUAAAUUUAUAAAAUCGUGAUUGUUACUAAUAAAAUAUAUAAUAUGAAGUCAUAAAAUGUAUCUCAAGAAACAAUAAAAAAAAAUAUUUGAAAAUAUAUACAUCCGAAUAUUAUGAAUAUUCAAAUAUUCCGAAUUUGAAAUUUAAAUUAUCUAGGCAUCAGAUUCUGGUGGGCAAUCUAAAAUGCAGACUCAAGAUCAAAAUCCAAUACUCGGUGCAAUCAUGCAGACUGUUUUGAUUAUUUUGAUUAUUUUGAUUAAACUGAGAAAUUAUGCAGUGGACAGUGUGACAUAAAAACGAUCUACGGCAUUACAGCAAUUGAUAAGAAAGUAAUUUGUUUUAAUUAUGUUGUUAACAUUUUAAUGUAAUUGUUUAUUUUAA